rnacentral:rRNA from 1 species
UACGUAGGGUGCAAGCGUUGUCCGGAAUUAUUGGGCGUAAAGAGCUCGUAGGCGGUUUGUCGCGUCUGCUGUGAAAACCCGAGGCUCAACCUCGGGCCUGCAGUGGGUACGGGCAGACUAGAGUGCGGUAGGGGAGAUUGGAAUUCCUGGUGUAGCGGUGGAAUGCGCAGAUAUCAGGAGGAACACCGAUGGCGAAGGCAGAUCGCUGGGCCGUAACUGACGCUGAGGAGCGAAAGCAUGGGGAGCGAACAGG